GACCUCGCGCGAUUGGAGCGGCCGAUAUCAGAUUAGGUAGUUGGUGAGGUAAAGGCUCACCAAGCCGACGAUCUGUAGCUGGUCUGAGAGGACGACCCAGCCACACUGGGACUGAGACACGGCCCAGACUCCUACGGGAGGCAGCAGUGGGAAUUUUGGACAAUGGGCGCAAGCCUGAUCCAGCAAUGCCGCGUGCAGGAUGAAGGCCUUCGGGUUGUAAACUGCUUUGUACGGAACGAAACGGCGAGCUCUAAUACAGUUUGCUAAUGACGGUACCGUAAGAAUAAGCACCGGCUAACUACGUG
rnacentral:rRNA from 1 species